UGAACAAAUAUCCAAGCCUACCCAUUUUGGCUAGCUCCCUUAUCAUGUCAAAUCCCAAGGUCCACACUUACUCCAACUUAAUCUUCUUCUUUUUUAAUUAUCUUAAAACCCAAUUGCGUUCUCUACUGAAUUGUUCCUCUAGUUUCAAAUCAUUCAAGCUCAUUUCAAUAUGCAUCCAAACACUUGAAGCCACGGGUAAUAAGGAAAUACCAUCAAAUAUGAACAACUAAACUCAAAUGAUGAAGUUAAGUGAUAUAAACAUAUUUCUGGCCCAUUGUGACUUGCAGUUCCAAAAGCACACUGCCACGACAAUAGGUUUUGAAUCAUAAAUGACCCAAAAAUCAAAAUAACACCUCCAAAGACAUAUGACCAAAUGAAAAGAGAAAAGAUCCAAACAACUACAAAUCUACACAGAAAACUAAAUCCAAGAAAUAGCGCAUCGCUAAAAAAUUGCUCAAAACACUAAUAAAAAAUUAAUUAGAUUAAAGCAAGAAAUAAACCUUAAGUGUUGAAUAUGAAACUUUAACUAUUUUACAGCCCAACAAUCUGAAAGCAAAAUAAACCAUGAAUGACCCAAUCGAACUUGGCGGUCUCGGCUUGGAUCUCAACUCGACUCAAAAACUCUAGCUAUUUUCUGGUGGUGUUCAACUAUAGAAUUUGCUACGUGUGCUUAGGGGUGUAUUGCUAUUAGCUUCAUGAGGUGAAGAAACGGGUCACUGGUUGCUAUUCGUUUUUCGGCGAGAUCGAUUGUUGAAGAAACAAGACGCUCAUUUUCUUUCUGAUUUCUGGUCAGAGUUCGGACUAAUUUUCGAGGCUUCUUCGAAGUGAUUUAAAGGCUGGUUUAAGGGGAAUUUUUAGCUCAUUUUGGAGCUUUAUUCGACUGCUUCAAUGGAGUUUGGGGGUGUUGAAUGGAGGAUCAGGACUGGAAUUAGAGGAGGUCAUCUAGUGUGGUUGGCGUGAGGUUUGGGGAAUUAGAGUUUAGGGGUGAAGAAGAUGGGGGGUCAUGUGUUUUGUUGAAGAAUAAGCAGAAUGGUGGGGACGGGUCUAUGUCUUCUGGGGCUGAUCUCUAAGGUCUAAUGUCUAGAUUAGUUUUGUAGGAUUUUUUAGAUUAAGAGGUAUGAGCCUAGGAAUUAUGGGCUAGGUCCGAAAAGUUGGCUUAAAAAUGGGUUGUUUGAGUAUAAAUUUUAUUCUUUUUCCG
rnacentral:lncRNA from 1 species